UACGUAGGGUGCGAGCGUUGCCCGGAUUUAUUGGGCGUAAAGGGCGCGUAGGCGGCUCUGCACGUCCGUUGUGAAAUCGCCCGGCUCAACUGGGCGGGGUCAGCGGAUACGGCGGAGCUUGAGCAAGCUAGGGGGCAAUGGAAUUCCCGGUGUAGUGGUGGAAUGCGUAGAUAUCGGGAGGAACACCAGUGGCGAAGGCAGGUCUCUGGGCCACUACUGACGCUGAGAAGCGAAAGCAUGGGGAGCGAACAGG
rnacentral:rRNA from 1 species